GAACCGCUUGGUGAUAACCGGACCUUUUUCCGGGAGUUUCCAUUCAGUCUCCAUUAACUUAAUGAGAGACUCAUCCACUUUGAAGGCCCUUGGCCCUCUAGAGGUGGUCUCUGGAGCUUCCUUAGAGUCAACAUCCUGGUUCUUCUUCAGAAGAAGAGUCAAGCUCAUCUACAGUGAGAUAAGCGUCUUCAGACAUAGGGACCACCCUUGCAGGGGACUGGGCCCUAGGUCUCUUUAUCUGGAGUGUAUCCUCAAAUCUCUUGAUAGAGGAUCCAACAAAAUCUUUAACCCAAA